CGAGGUUGUGAGUGUCCGAGGUCUCUGUAAACGGACGUCGUGAUUUUUCUGGACACCCCUCUAGGAGUUUGUGGUUCAACCUGCGGAAUUUAAAGGCAAAAUGGCGACAGGGUGAUGGAUGGCAGCCGAAUAUCCAGCACUUAACCGAGUGUCAUGGCGAUCUUGUCGUUGCCUACAAAUUUCCAGCGUCGGAAAGAUUGUAUUAUAUCCAUCCAUACAAGGCUGGUGGUGUCAGGAUGUACCUGGAGUGCUGUCAGUCACUAAAAAGCCAGAAGAUUUGGCCCUGGAUGUCAAACUUCAAUCUCUACAACCUAUCUGAGAUUUGGGAUCUGAUACUUCAAGAAAACCUCAAAAAGCUAUGCACAAUGGAUGUUCCCUGCUGAAAAACAAACAAACAAAAAACAACAACAACCGAAACCUUCAUAGAAUUUGUAGUGGUUUUAAUGGUUACAAAUGGGAAUUGUAUUGGUUUUAAUGGAAACUGUAAUGGUCGCUGUGGGGCUCUACUUGUAAUUUGUUGCCUUCUAUUGGUGGCAUGUUAUGUCUAGUGGAUACCAUUAAGGACCAAUAAUGGUAAUGGUUAGCUGAUGGUUGGUAAUGGUAUUUGUAAUGGAAACCAUUAGAAUUUCUGUCAUGGUUUCUAUUGGUCCCCCCCCGGGCCAUCCUGUAGCUCAGUAAUCUGAAGGCAAGUCUUUUUUUGAACAUUCAAAACACAUUCUUUUCAAAAUGCAUUUGGCAUAGCAAGGCAGCGAGACAUUAGGUGUGGUGGAAAAUUGUUAAAUAUCUAUGGCUUCAAGUGUGUAAAACAGCUGGCAUUUGACUCGGCAAAAGCCCAAAUAAAGUGAAAACCAUUAUUAUGGAGAACAGAUUUACAGAUAAAGGGUAUGUUGCAUGCCUUAAGCAGUCAUUAGCUUCAAUAUAGAAAGACCAAGAGUCAUCUGAAAGGUUUAAAAAUGAGCCUGGAGAGAUAAGUGUGUCUGUAUGCACAAUAAUAGUUUGUGAAUGGGGUUCUCUUAGCAGCCAAGGAGCCUUUUAAAUGUAAAAGAAAAUCUGCAGACACCCCUCAGCCCAUACUUAUUUUAUGAGCUAUCCAAAUAUCAGACAUAUUAUUCAAAUGUGUACAGUAAUGUGCUGACUGUUUAUUGGAACCAAACUUUCAACAAGUGAUCUUUCCACAUUAGGUCCAUCAAUCCAUUUAGUUCAGUUAACCCAUGUAAUUAAAGUGACAAUUCAAACUAUAAUAACUCUUAAUAACAAAUAAAACUUUGGUAAUGGUGGGUUGUGAUUUCAACCAUUCUAAUAAAACACAAACAAAAUCCAUGGGGGAAAAGAAAGUACACAGUCCUUCAAUUCAAUUAUCUUAUUUAUCAGGGCGUAAAUAAUAAUUUUGUGUUCCUCACCAACUUCUAUAAACAAACAAAUAACAUCAUGUGACAACAAUAACACAUUUCAAUGUGUAUUCAUUUCCCCUAUAAAGUAAACCAAAAUUCAUAAACCAGGUGCUGGGAAAACUACAGCCAGGUCCAUAAGUAUUUGGACAGUGGUGCAAUUUUCAUGAUUUUGCCUCUGUACACCACUACAAAGGAUGUGAAAUGAAACAGUCGAUAUGUGAUUGAAGUGUAGACUUUCAGCUUUAAUUCAAGUGGUUGAACAAAAAUAUGGCAUUAACCGUUUAGGAAUUACAGCCAUUCCCUCUAUUUCACAGGCUCAAAUGUAAUUGGACAAACUAAGAUAAUUAUAAAAAAUAAUGAUUAGUUCUUAGUACUUGGAUGGAAAUCAUUUGUGGUCAAUGACUGCCUGAGGUCUGGAACCCAUGGUCAUUACCAAAUGAGUUUCCUCCCUUAAGAUACUUUGCCAGGCCUUUACUGCAGCUGCUUUCAGUUGCUGCUUAUUUGAACUUCUUUCUGCCUUCAGUUUGUCUUCAGUAUGUGAAAAGCACGCCCAGUCAGAUUGAGGUCAGGUGACUGAGUCUUGUGCAGAAUCUGACAUGCUGACAUUUAAGAACAUUCCAUUUCUUUGCCUUUAAUAAGCUCUUAGGUUGCUUUUGUGGUAUGUUUUGGUUCAGUAUCCAUCUGUACCAGUUUGCUAUCCUAUCACCUGUGCAGUAUUUGACUGAAUCUGUGCAGAACGUAUAGCUGUAUACACUUCAGAGUUCAUCCUGCUACUUCUGUCAUCAAUAAAAACAGUGACUCCGUUCCAGUGGCAGCCAUAUAUGCCCAUGCCAUAACACUACCACCACCAUGUUUGACAGAUGAUGUUAUGCUUUGGAUCAUGGUCCCUUCGUUUUUCCAUACUCUCCUUUUCCCAUCAUUCUGGUACAAGUUAAUCUUGCAUUACAACUGGGCAGGGUUUUCUGUUUUUUUUAAAUGGUUUAUUUAUUUACUUAUUUUUUAACUUAUUUUUUUUUUUUUUAAAUCAAAGUAUAAUUUGUCCUUUCUGUUCUUGAGUGUGCAUCUUGAGGUAGACCCUCUGUAUUUACGUUUACAGUGAGGGAAAUAAGUAUUGAAACAGUCAACAUAAAAUAUAUUUCCAAUGAGGUUAUUCACAUGAAAUUUUCACCGGACAUAGGUAUUAACUCAAGAAAUCUGGAAAUAUAAAGAAUUCACAACAUUAAUGUCCAUAAAUAAAGUUAUGUGUGAUAAAGUGGAAUGACACAGGAGAAAAGUAUCGAAGAUGUUAAGAAAAAGCAGUUCUCCAAGGCAAGGUAAGGCAAGAAACCAUCUGACAUCUGUAUGUAGUUAGAACAUAAUUAUACCUCAUAUCUGUGCAAAUUAAUAUCAGUUGGGUUAGUAAAUUGAUGGUCCUUAAAAAGGCUUUUCGUUACCAAGGUGUUACACCAGAAACAUCUCAAGAUGGGUAAAAGCAAAGAGCUCUCCAAAAACCUUCACAACCUUAUUCUUGCAAAACAUAUUGAUGGAAUCGGAUACAGAUGUAUUUAAAAACUUCCGAAUCUUCCAGUAAGCACCACUGGGGCCAUUAUCCACAAGUGGAAGCAACAUCACUCCGUCAUCAACCGGCCAUGCACAGGAGCUCCUCGCAAGAUUUCUGACCAGGGAGUCAGAAGAGUAGCCCAAGAGCCAAAGAACCACUCGGAAAGAGCUCCAGAAACACUUGGAGGCAAUAGGUGCCAUGGCCUGUAUGCAUGCUCACUCUGCAAGAUUCCAUUAGUAAAGAAAAGGCAUGUCAAAGCUUGUUUUAAAGUUUGCUAUAACUCCUUUGGACAAGCCUCUGAAAUACUGGGAGAGUGUAGUGUGGUCAGAUGAGAGCAAAAUGAAACUUUUUGGCUGUCAUACUACACACCAUGUUUGUAGAAGAAAUGACACUGCACAUCACCCUUAAAACACUACACCGACAGUGAAGUUUGGAGGUGGAAGCAUCAUGGUGUGGGGCUGUUUUUCAUCACAUGGUACUGUCAGACUUCACAUAAUUGAAGGAACGAUGAAUGGAGCCCUUUACCGGGAGAUUCUUGAGAAGAAUCUGCUGACAUCCACCAGGAUGAUGAUGAUGAGACGUGGGUGGACCUUCCAGCAGGACAACGAUCCAAAGCAUAUAGCAAAGGAAACUCUCAAAUCAAGGCGUUAGAAUGGCCCAGUCAAUCACCUGCCUUGAAUCCAGUUGAACAAGAUUUAAAGACAAUAUGUUCAGAAGAAUGGGCCAAAAUCACACCUGAAUUCUGCGGCCCAUUAAUUUCUUCAUACAGAAAUCAUCUUGAAGCUGCCACUACAUACAAAGUCUUCUCCACUAAGUAUUAAAUACAUUUCAAUUAGCUUGUUCAAUACUUUUUUCCCUGUGUCAUUCCACUUUAUUACAUAUAACUUCAUUUAUGGACUUUAAUGUUUGGAAUUCUUUACAUGUCUGGAUUUCUUAAGUUAAUACAGAUGUCUGGUGAAAAUUUCAUGUGAAUAGCAUUACUGGAAAUAUAUUUACUGAAAAAAAUGUUGACGCGUUCAAUUUCUCCCACUGUAUAAAGGCGUCUCUUGACUGGAUAGAAUGGGUUUUUUCCUAGCCCCCCUUUUAUGAAAGCCAUACUUGUUCAGUCUUUUUCUGAUUGUGUGGUCAUGAACAUAAACAUGUAAUGUGCAUACAGUGGCCUGUAGGUCAAAUGUUGUAGUUCUUGGAUUUUUCUUUGUCUCUGAACAUUGAACUGAAUUUGCUGGGACGCCCACUUCUAGGAAUAUUGGCAACUGUCUUGAAGGCUCUCCAUUUGUGAACAAUCGUUCUCACUGUUAAAUGGAGAAUUUCAAAUUGUUUGGCAUUGGAUUUAUGACCCACCCCAGAUUGAUGAGCAGCAGCAAUUUAGUGCAUUUCUUUAGGAACACCUGGCUGCUAAUUACUCUCUUAAAGAUUGUGUAAGUAGGAAGGAUGUCAUUAUUUUUUACUACUUUCUUUCCCCCAUGAUGGUAUUUGUGCAAACAUAAUUGGAUAGAACUGCUCUACCAGUCUGAUUUUUCUGGUAGAAAAUACAGGAAGAGAGAUGAUGGAUGUAUGGCUGAUGCCAUGCAUUUAGAGCAAAGUCACAUUGACACUCAUGUAAACCUAGAAUUUUCAAUUUAUCACGUUACGUUUGGAUUAAAUAAUGCAAAAAUAGGUUUAUUGGGUAUCUGAUUAUUUUGGAAAGGUACAAAUGCUCACUGUUAAGCAAACAAUGUGAAAGCAACAUGUAUAAGGAAAUGACACUCCCUAGGCAGCUAUGUGAAUGUCAUUUUUGCACUGGUCCAUAUUUCCUUGUCAGACUAAUGCACAUGAGAAAAUAAAUCAUCAAAUCUUUAAGGGUGGAUAAAACAAAAACAACAAAUCCAUGAUAGUGUGAUGGUUUAACUUGCCUACCAAAUGAAGGCAAGAAAAAUGUUUCACCAAAGCAAAUGUCAUGAGUUUUAUAACAAUCUUGUAAAGACAGGCUGUACAUUCUGCCCUGAGAAAAAUUGGAUACUUGAGAGAGUUGACCGUUGUAAGCCGUCAGGUAAGCGAAGUUAAGAAUUCAUUAGUGCUUCUUUACCCAUUGCUUAUCCUAUGGUCCCGAUUUUCCAGCUCUAACCUGUUUCACCUCCUCAGUUUAGAGUCAUAAAUUGAGCUGAACUCCAAAUAUCAAAGACGAGAGGAUUGCUUUAGGCCUGCAGUGACCUGACUGCUCUCCAUGCAGCCCACAUGGUGUGAAGCACAGUUCUGUUCCCAAAAAUCAGAUGAAAGAGUAAUCACUUUCCCUUUUGCUGCAUUUCUGUCAACAUCAGUGGUUCGUUGUAGGUGAGAGACCCUAAUUUAGUCAAGUGUUCUCUCUAGUCCUCAGUGCUUCCAAACCCCCCCCUCAGCUCAAGUAGAGUUUUGUGCUAUUGUAGAAAAAUACUCUAUAAAUAAAGUGCUGUGAAAGCAUCCUGAUUUUUUUUCUUCUUCUGUUUUUGUAUCUCAUACUAAAUUGUUUCAGAAAUUAAAACAAAAUCUAAGAUAAAACAAAGGCAACCUGAGUAAACACAAAAUAUCGUUUUUAAAUGUUUUGCAGUUUAAGUGUUAUUUAUUGAAGCAAAAAAAUGUAUCCAAUACCAAAUGGGCCAGUGUGGAGAUGUAUUUGCCCCGUAGUUAUUAAUUCCCAAAAUCUAUGAAGCUGCAUUCAUAAUGGGGUUCAGCUGGACUAGACGCAACCACCCCUGAUUACUGCAAACCCUGUUCAAUCACCUCAACAAUUAAAUAGAAAAUUUUCAACAGCAUGAAUCGGGUUAAAAGGUCUUACCCAGUAACACACUAUGCCAAAGUUGAAAGAAAUAACAGAAAUGAUGAGGAAGAAGGUGACAGAAAUAUAUCAGUCUGGGAAGGGUUACAAAGCUAUUCCAAAGGCUCCCAAAGGACCACAAUGAGAGCCAUUAUCUUAAAAUUGAAAAACUCAGCACAGUAGUGAACACUCCCAGAAGUGGCCAAAAUUCCAAGAGUCCUCCAUGAGCACAGCAACUGCACAUCCAGCAAGUCACAAAAGAGCCAAGGACAGCAUUAAAGGACCUACAGGCCUCUCUUUUAUCAAUAAAGGUCACUGUUCAUGACUCCACAAUCAGAAAGACACUGGGCAAAAAUGGCAUCCAUGGAAGAGUGGUGAGGUGAAAACCACUGCUAACCCAGAACAACAUUUAAAACUUGUCUGAUUUUUGCCAAAACACACCUCAAUGACCUUCAAACCUUUUGGGAGAAUGUUCUGUGGAUUGAUGAGUCGAAAGUGGAACUGUUUUGGAAGAUAAGGGUCCUGAUCUAUCUGACAUAAUCCAGACACCGAAUUACACAAAAAGAACAUCGUACCUAUGGUCAAGCAUGGUGGUGGAAGUGUGAUGUGCUUUGCUGCUUCAGGGGCUGGGCAACUGGCAAUAAUUGAGAGAGAUGUGAAUUCUACUCUCUACCAGAAAAUCCUAAAAGAGAAUGUCUGGUCUUCAGUCUGUAAGUUGAAAUUCAAGUGCAACUGGAUUAUGCAGCAAGACAAUGAUCCACAGCAUAGGAGUAAGUCCUAGUCCUAGAAAUAAGUGAAACACUGAUCUCCAGUUAUCAGGAGUGUUUGGUUGCAGUUAUUACUGCUAAAGGUGGCUCAACCAUAUUUUAAGAUUAAGGGGGCAAUUAGUUUUUCAGAUUGGUGAUGGAUAGUGUUAACCUUUUUGCUUCAAUCAAUCAAUCAAUCAAUCAAUCAAUCAAUCAAUCAAUAAAUAAACAAAUUGUAUUGUGUGUUUACUCAGGUUGCUUUUGUUUUAUGUCGUAUUUCAUUAGAAGAUCUAAAACUAUUUAGUAUGAGAUGCACACAAAAACAGAAGAAAUCAGGAAAUACUUUUUCACAGCACCGUAUUUUAGCAAAACCUCUGUACUUUCGUUACAAUCGGUACCAGAAAAACAAGUACCGUCACGUUUUAAGAAUGUUGGUACUGACUUGGUACUGGAGUAUCGGUUCUCGUGGCAUCCCUAAUGCGCGUACACACACACACACACACACACACAAAAUGAAACAGAUUAAUGGAAAAAAAAAACUGGGAACUGUUAGGAAAAUAUGAGAGGCCGGUCAGUCUAACUGGAAUAUUUUCUAAAAACAUUAAAAGUAGAUAAAACCUGCAUUACUUGUUUGAGAGAGAGAAUGAGAGCAACAGAGCAGUGUGUGCACUCAAAGACCGUUGAACAUUAACAGUGCAUGUCAACAAUAUUCUAUUUUCAGAAAUAGUGUCAGCAUUGGUGAAAAAAUUCAGAAUUUUGCUCAUCCUGAAUGCUAGCUUUACUGCUAGUUGUUGUCUGUGUGGCUGUACAUGAAAUACCGUUAAAGUUUAUUUUUUUUAAUUUUAGAUAUUGUGCAAAGGUGAGAUUUGACUACCACAUUCUGAAUAAUGACAUGGAAAGCAAGUUUGGGUUAUUGCACUUGCACAAACUCGUUCCAGCAACACUGCCUCAAAAACAUUUUUACAUGGGGCAGAGCCCUAAUAUGCUCUGCUGAAUAUUUGACAUUCCCAGGCAUCUUGAUUAGUAACAAUAUACCAAUACCUUCUAAUAAUCUAAUAUUUUUCAACCGUCCAGAUUUUGUGAACCUGUGCCUACUGUGGCCUCAGAGUCCUGUUUUUGGGUGACAUGGACGGAAUCCGGUAUUGUCAUGAUUGGCUGAUUUGGAUAAUUGCAAGUGUAUGAGUGUUCCCAAUAGAGCUGCAACAGCUAAUCGAUAAAAUCAAUUCUGAAAAUCACUGUCAACGAAUCUCGUUAUCGAUUAGUUGGUCUGUGCGUGGGACAGGGUACAUUUUACUCAUUGCGUUACUUCUGUUCCAAAAACAUGCAUCGGAGAGUACAGACCGAAGUUUUGUCCCAAAUGAUGUACUAUACACUUGCACUGUGUACUCUACCGUAUGAAUUUUAGAUUUGUAGUAUCAUUUCAAAUGGAACACAGGCGGGUUUUUUUUUUUUAAUUAUUUAUUUAUUUUUUUAAAACUAACUGGAACUAUAAGCCGUUUCCAAGAUGAUGGCACAUGACGUCAAACUCGCCUAAUGCGACGCUGCUAGCUUUAGCAGAAUACCCAGACCCAGGACCUCUAAGGCAUGGGAGCAUUUUAUAUUAAAUGCGAUGAAGACUGUAACCUGUAAACUUUACAAAGCGGAGUUUGUGUAGCACUGAAGCACGACAGUGAUGCACGAGCACAAACUUAUGUUUUGUAACCAAAAUGCUUUACUGUGUGCAAGGGGUUGGGGAAACUGGUACGAUUUGAGGUUCAGUUUAAUAAAGUUGGUCAUUAUAUGCUAUAUUAGCACGCUUACAGUGUAAUUUCUGCAAUAAUGUCUUUUUAUUAAAAGUGAUCUGUUACUAUCGAGGCUCGCUUGCAGUGUAGACCCGGUGAUAAACAGUGUAGCGCCGUGCAAGUAAGAUCUGUAAUGUCGUCUAAUUAAAACUGUACGAUCAGAUUUUUAUUAAUUUAGGACUGUAGUUUAUCAGCAAAAAAGGGGAUAAUCGAUUAACUGGAAAAAAUAAUCAGCCAAUUAAUCGAUUAUGAAAAUAAUCGUUAGUUGCCGCCCUAGUUCCCAAUGAAGUGGCUGGUGAGGGCAUGUUUCAUAGUAUAAAUGUAUACAUCUCUUGGUUUAAAGAUGAACUCAACAUUUUUUUUUUAUAGUAUUCUAAAAGGGGAAAAUUAUUUGCAGCUAAACUGGAGACUGUAAGCUUCCCUUAGUUAUUAGUCUACACCUCUUGUUAAAAUGGCAGAUUUUGUGAUGUAAAAAAUGAAACAAAGAUAAAUCAUGUUGGAUCUUGUUCAUGUUGGAUCUAGUUCCACAUAUUAUGUGAUACAGCAACCAUGUUUUUUAUUUAAAAAAACAAAUAAAAACUUUUUAGAGGAAAAUAAACAAACUUACAAUAAACUGAUUGCACCCAUGUGCACACCUCUUAACUAAUAGUUUAUUAAAGCAAAAAUUCUCCAGAUCUAUCAACUUGUGAGGACCUCUCCAAGCCAUCCUACAGGUUGGGCCAUUCCAAAAUGUUGAUCUUCUGAAGCCAGUCCAUUGUUGAGUUGAAUUUGUGCUUUGGGUGGUUGUUGUGCUAGAAGGUAACAUUUCUUUUCUUCAUCUUCUAACAGAGGACUGCAGUUUUUUUGCCAAAAUAGAUUGGUAUUUGGAGCUAUCCAUGAUUUCCUCUAUCCCGACUUGAGCCUCAGUCCCAGCUGAAGAACUCCAUAGCAUGAUGCUGCCACCAUCAUGCUUCACCUGGUUAUCUCUUUUUAUAAUUAUGUCCAAAAUGUUCUACAGUACCUUUUUUCUUAUCAGGCCAUUACACUUUUUGCCACAUGGUUUAGGGUGAUUUAGGCAGGCUUGGCUUUUGGUUUUUCAUGAGAAGGAGCUUCCGUCUAGCCACCCUACUCCAUAGCCCAGACGUGAAGAAUACGGGAGAUUCAGUGCGUUUACAUGAACAACAAUAAUCCGAUAUUAACCCGAUUAAGACAAUACUCUGAUUAAGAAACUACCAUGUAAACAACAGUUUUUAAUGACCUUAAUCCGAUUAAGGUCAUACUCGAAGUAAACAGGAAUCAAAUUAAGACGGGUGGAGUACUCCUGUUUUAGUCGCAUUAUCGAGAUGUAUUACAGACAUUUACACACCUUAAUCACAUUAACGUCAUGUGAGAGUUUUCACCGCAUUUUGCGACAGGACACGAUCACAAAUGGCAGUGCUCAACUGUUUUACGGCAAACGAGAGCAUAGCUGCGUCCCAAACCGUGUACUUACCUACUAUAGGCCUAUAGCAGGUGAAUUACCUGUAUCGCGGCUACUAUACAGUAGGUAAGUAUGUGGUUUGGGACGCAGACCAUGGCUUCAAGCAGUUGUCUACUAGCACGUAUAGCAUGACAAAUAAUUAACCGCACUUAAAGCGUUCGUAAAAAUUAAAAAUAAAAACACCCAAAACUGUAUAUGGUACCAUAACGAAGAUGAACUGUAUGUUAAUACGUGAAAUUCUGGAGGGACGUCGGAUGGCGUGGCGCGGUGACGUAAUGACGUGUGCCGUUAAUCUAAUUAUGUUCUAUAACAUGUGAAAGGGUACAUGACAGGAGUAUUCUAAAAGCGACUCAUGUAAACACCUUAAUCACAUUAUUAUCUUACUCAGAGUAAGGUAAAUAAUUAGAUUACUGCUAUCCAUGUAAACGUAGUCAGUGUCACAUAUUAGCAGUGUAUUGAAGUAUUUCCAAUACUUUCAAAGGGGACCAUAUUCAACCAGAUUAUUGUAUGUUUUUUUUUUCCUUUUUUUUUUUUUUUCCUAAAACUUUCAUUUGAAUUAAACUUUUUGCCAUCACAUUUAAAUGUGAAAAAUUAUCUGAAAUAAUUUAUCAUGGUUUCAUUUUUUUACAUCACAAAAACCUGCAAUUGUAGCAGAGGUGUAUAGAUGUUUUAUAUCCAUUUUUACAUCUUGGCAAUUACGGCACUUAUCCAGAGCGACUUACAUUAAUCUCAUUUGUACUACUGAGCAGCUCGGCAGUGCUGGGAUUUGAACUCGCAAACUUCCGCUCAGUAGUCCAAUGUCUUAACCACUGAGCUACCUCUAACGAAUAUCCACGGUACAUUAGGUGUAUAGUUUCAGUAUAAAUCUGAAAAAGCAAACAUCAGACACAAAACAUAUUGGCUGAUGUUGUGCAUUUUAUUUUUGGAUGAACUUGUCCUUUAACAACUUUGCAUUCAGUUGGAGAAAGUUCUUGAUUCCGUACAUAAGGAGGCCAAAAUCCAGCUCACACCUGUGACACUGUGUAUGCGUGCCAGUAUCAGGUGCUGCCCAAAGAGGACAUGUUCCACUUUUGCGUCUUUUUAGUUCAAGUUUGUGCCCUCAUGCCUUCUUGGAGGCUUUUUUUUUUUCCUCAUGGUAUCAUGGUCAACAGUUUUGUUGCCAGUUCUGCAAAGCUGCUUUGUGAACAAUACCUAUAAAGUCAAUAAAAAACAGGUUAACCUGUUUAAACAUAAACCUUCUGAUCGCUAGCAGCAUUGCAUGUUGCAACAUGUUCAUUAUUGCAUGUGGCACAGCUGGGACUUGAAACCCAAUUCUGAAAAGAUUUUUUCUGACUGAUGCGCAUCGUGUUUACUAGUCAUGCCUUCUAGGCUGCAUCAUUUUGUUUCCAGAGACAGCAAGGUUCACAUCAAAGCCUUAAACUUUCCUUGCUUUUUCUUUCCUGCUCCAUGCUGACUGCUGUUCCGUUGCUAUGCUGUUUUUCAGCCUCCAUUCUCUCUCUCGCUUGCUCUGAGCUUGUCAUGAUAUGUACAGACAUACCGUCAUUUGUGAUUAUGAUCCAGACAUUGAGUUUCUGGAUGGUGGGUUCAGCUUUGCCACGUUGUUUAGCCAGAUUUUUAAACAGACACCGGCGUAGAUUAUAAAGUGUUCAGUUCAUCAUUUAUUUCUUAAUUCAAAAGCUUAAUUAGUCCAGAAAUUCAUCCAGGCUCGUAACUGCAACCAAAUCCAAUCGACACAUUGAAAGCAUGUCAUUGUAGUGAGUUAUUUGUAUAUGGAUAUGUAAUAAACUCCACAUGGAAUGGAUGUUCUAGUUUAAAAACUACAAAAUGUCAAGGAUUUCAAAGGAGUGUGUUUCUCUAAGUCUGUGACAUGGCACACAUCUCUAUCAAUGAUCUGAUUUAUGAAAGAUGUAUUGACAGUGAUUAAGUGAUGAUUUCUUGGUACAAGUUUAAUGAGAUUCAGUCUUGUGCAAUCAGAUUUGCUUAAUUCUACAGUUUUUAUUUUAACUGGACAAUGUUAUUUUGAGAUGUGUUGUACAGUGACUUCAGAAAAUAUCCUCCCUUCAAAUGUUUAUUUCUCUUUUUGCUGUAUUGCAACAUCAAAUAUAAGCAUAUCAGAACUGCUUUAUUUUUCUUCUGCUCAUUUUGAUGUGAAUCUCUCCAGAAAUAAAAUUAAAGUAUUUCAUUGUUCCGAGAAUUGUUUUAAAAUUUAAAAGCUGCUUGAUUGAUAAGUCUUCACCCCAUGCAGUGUGAAUUGUCUUUUUGCAGAAACUACAGAUUUGAGUUGUCUCAUAUGUGUGUUUGAGCUUUGCUUGUGGUUGCAAAAAUCUCUCCAGUUCCUCCUGCAUAACAGCAAGCCUAGAGUAUGGUUCUACCACCAGCAUUCUUGUUCAUAGAAUGGUGUUCUCUGGGCUGUAUUUGGUUUGUGCAAAACAUUGUGCUUUUAGUUUUAAACCAAUGGCUCAACUUUUCUCAUCAAACCACAAUAUCUUUUUCCAAAAGUUUGCAGAUUUUCUACCAUGACCUGUCGCAGAAAUGGUUCCCUUUUGGCCACACUCCCAUAGAGUUCACAUCUGUGAAGAGUUGAUGUUGAGUGCACAGGUUCUUCCAUAUCAGCCAGUGAACUCUGUAACCCCUUCAGUGUUGUAACUGGACUCUUGGACACUUUUCUGCCAAUUGCCUUUCUUGCCCAAGUUUGGCCUGGCCUUGUAGUGUAGUGUCUGAUUUGUGCCACUUGUUUUAAUGGAUUUUACAACACUCCUUAGAAGGUUCAAGUCUUUGCUGUUAUUUUAAUUUAAAAAAAAUGGGAUGUAGCAUUACAGCAAAAACUGGUAAUGCAAGUAAGAUCACUCUUGUGACGUUCUGAAAUUUUAACCUUUGCUCGCACAAUCUAGAAACAUUGUUAGUGAUUAUGAAAAAACACAGUGUGUGUCCGUCUCAGGAAAAUCCAUUCAAGACACUGUGGCUGAAUUCUGGAAAAAGAACCAAAAAGUUUUUCUGCCAAUAAUAUACUUCAACAACAAAGAAAACAUAUUUACAAAAAUGACAUGGAAUAGCCAUUUCUUUAGGUUACCGUGUAACCUUAACUUGAGUGUCAUGUUAUGUAAGAAGCUAUUUUAACAUGCCUUGGCAUUUCAUAUUGGGAGAUAUGGGAUCUAUACUGUAGAAAAUGGGAAAUUUGACCAUGUGUAGAGUUUCCCCAGGCCUCUACAGAGUUACAAUGUUUGGUCACUUUGUGGGAUUUAACUCUGUAACUCAACAGAUAAUAAACAAAAUGGAAGCGUGUGAUAACGGAGCAUAUCCCUAAUUUCUCCAUCUGGGGAUUAAUAAAGUAUUAUCAUAUUUUAUCCAAAUAAUUCCAAAUUAUUAGGGCAUUUGCUAAAUUCCAGGGUUUUCAGUACCGUGACGUAAAAUGGGCAUUUCUGGAGGUGUGGCAAAGAUGCCCUCUUACAAAAAAAAAAAAGACGGGAGACCGAGCAUGCGCAGAAUACUUUAUGCGUACAUUCCCAGAGUCAGUGAUGUAAGAUGGACAAAACAAUCAUAUCUGUAACUAUUUUU
ensembl:lncRNA